rnacentral:lncRNA from 1 species
AUGAAGUCUGGGCUGAGCCGGUUUUUCCUUGUUGCUAUUUUAGUGUCCAGUGUGAGGUGCAGCUGGUGGAGUCUGGGGGAGGCUUGGUACAGCCUGGGGGGUCCCUGAGACUCUCCUGUGCAGCCUCUGGAUUCACCUUCUGUUAACUACUGCAUGCAGUGGAUCUGCCGGGCUCCAGGAAAGGGGCUGGAGUGGGUAGGUUUCACUAAAAACAAAACUAAUCGUGGAACAACAGAAUACGCCGCGUCUGUGAAAGGCAGAUUCACCAUCUCAAGCGAUGAUUCCAAAAGCAUCGCCUAUCUGCAAAUGAACAGCCUGAAAACCGAGGACACGGCCGUGUA